GUGUAAAACUGGCCAUAUGGAGAUAAUCUGACCUACCUUGUUUGACUGCAGGUCACAAGACGGCCAUUACAGAGAGGAUCCUGCCCCAUACCCAGGAGAAAGACACGUGUGCUCAGAGAGGCCAAGCACAGUCUAGACAGACAGGCCCUGCCAGGUUUCCCCACUCAGCCUAUUGGCAUUAGAUCAUAGUCUUUUCGUCCCCUCAUAUUUCCACAGGGCUGCCUAUACUUUGUUGAACCUGAGCAUACAAACAGGCAAUUUCCUCUGUAUCUUUCUGACCUUAUUCCAAAGGCUGCCAUGUAUAUAUGUUAAAUUUGUAUUCCUUUUCUCCUGUGAAUCUGCCUUUCGCCAGUGGAUUUCUCAGCAAACCUUCAGACAGUUUGGCAUAGAGAGCAGGGUCACCAAAGCCAGUCUGCUCUUCUGGAACCUGCAGUUAAGGGAAUGCAGGAAACUGGCAAACUGGCAAAGGGUGAGAAUUUCUUACCAGUCAGGCUCCCAGGUUCUCUCUUGGUGCAACCCAGUUGGGCAGAUGGUAGAAAACAAAUCUCUCUGUUUGCCUUCUCUACAAGGUUUCAUGCCUGGGAGGCAAAAAUCUGUGUGUGACAAGUCUGGAUAUACUGACUCUUGUAUACUUUACACCACUUUGUGGUAUGAACAUUCAUAUUGUUUGAUCUCUUUCCUGCCAGAAAUGGUGCAUUCCUUUGUCUUUGUCUUUCUGUGUUGUUCAUAGAGAGGGUUACAGGGAGAAAGUUCACUCUCAUCUUGAUCUGUGUUCUUGAGAGCUUGAUUUGUGAGCAAGAGGAAACACUCUCUCUUGCUCUCCACCAUGCAGGGGAAGUGAUUUUUGAGUCACAGCAGGCGUCUGGUGUAGGAAAUCUCUUCGCUGGGAAGUGGAGAGAUUUUGUUUUGUUCCGAGUGUGCCAAGCUCUCAGCAGGGUUUGUCACAAGAAGUCCCGUCCAGAAGGGGCUUUGUCAUCUCUAACUUUAUUGCCUAGGGCAGGGAUCACCAACCCAUAAUCCAGGGAAUGGUAUAGGGCCUUGGUCUGUUAGGAACCAGACCAUACAGCAGGAGGUGAGCACCAGCAAGCAAGGGAAGCUUCAUCUGUGUUUACAACCACUACCCACUGCUGGAAUUACCGCCUGAGCUCUACCUCCUGUCAGAUCAGCAGCAGUAGUGUCUCAUAAAAGCAUGAAGACUCUGGUGAACUGCACAUAAGAGGGAUCUUAGGUUGGGUGGCACACUCCUUAUGGGAAUCUAAUGCCUGAUGAUAUGUCACCCUUCCCCAUCACCCCCAGGUGAGAACAUCUAGUUGCAGUAAAACAAGCUCAGGCCUCCCACUGAUUCUACAUUAUGAUGAGUUGUAUAAUUACUUCAUUAUAUAUUACAAUGUAAUAAUAAUAGUAAUAAAGUGCACAAUAAAUUUAAUGGCCUUGAAUCAUCCCAAAACCAUCCCCCAAAUGCCCCAAUGUCCAUGGAAAAAUUGUCUUCCAUGAAACCGGUCCCUGGUGCCAGGAAGGCUGGGGACCACUGGUCUAGCUAGCAAGUGCUGGCAAACUGCCGUCUCAGGAGUCAUUUGCUGUCAUAGGCUAUCUCUGAAAAUGGGGAAUCUUCGGGAUUACUUCUUCUCUGAAGAGGCUACUGCAUCCAGUCAGUAUUGAAAUUCAGUGCACUAUUGAGAAUCCUAUUUGUCAAUGGCCAAAAGAUCGAUCCUUUAAAUUAGCCUCCUCAAUUUUAUUAAAUUUUAGAGAUUUCUUAUUCUAACCAAUUGAUAGAAAGGUAAAGUCUAUAAAAGGACACAUAAUGGUAUGACCGCUAUCCUUAAAACUUUCCUUGACAAAAAGAGAGCAAAAAGUCCAACCUAAAGAAAGUUAAACUCCUGUGUCUGCUCAAACUGCCCCUGUGAGCAUAACAACAAAGGCGUCUCCACCUUGUGGUCUUUUAAUUCAAAUUCUGUGCUUUCACCUCGAUGCCAUGGUUUGCAUUCCUGGACAGGAAACCAGCCCCUCUCGGUUUAAUAUUUGUGUGACUUUGGGGAAGUACCUAUUUCAUAUUGAUCUUUUUCCCUUCGUUGGAUUGCUUUUGAUUUCCUGUCUUUUUCCAUCUGUGACAAGGGCACAUGAGUCCCUUUGGUUAUUGUGUGUAGAUAGCUGAGAAUCUAAGACCCUAGAAAAUUUGAUGAGACAAACAUGUGGGCUGUAUCCUGUUAAUGCCUAGCAAAACUUCCUUUUCUCUUUGAGCUGUCUCUGGGGUUUGGGUCAGUUCUGGAUCUUGUGAAACUAAUUUCCCCUCUUUGGAGACACCUUC
rnacentral:lncRNA from 10 species